GGACCAAAGGUGGCCUCUACAUGUAAGCUAUCGCGUUGGGAUGGGCCCAGUUAGGAUUAGCUAGUUGGUAAGGUAAUGGCUUACCAAGGCAACGAUCCUUAGCUGGUUUGAGAGGAUGAUCAGCCACACUGGGACUGAGACACGGCCCAGACUCCUACGGGAGGCAGCAGUGGGGAAUAUUGCACAAUGGGGGAGACCCUGAUGCAGCCAUGCCGCGUGUGUGAAGAAGGCCUUCGGGUUGUAAAGCACUUUCAGCAGUGAGGAAGGUCGUGUACUUAAUACGUGCACGGCUUGACGUUAGCUGCAGAAGAAGCACCGGCUAACUCCGUGCCAGCAGCCGCGGUAAUACGGAGGGUGCGAGCGUUAAUCGGAAUUACUGGGCGUAAAGCGCAUGCAGGCGGUUUGUUAAGUCAGAUGUGAAAGCCCGGGGCUCAACCUCGGAACCGCAUUUGAAACUGGCAGGCUAGAGUCUUGUAGAGGGGGGUAGAAUUUCAGGUGUAGCGGUGAAAUGCGUAGAGAUCUGAAGGAAUACCAGUGGCGAAGGCGGCCCCCUGGACAAAGACUGACGCUCAGAUGCGAAAGCGUGGGUAGCAAACAGGAUUAGAUACCCUGGUAGUCCACGCCGUAAACGCUGUCUACUUGGAGGUUGAGGUUUUAGACUUUGGCUUUCGGCGCUAACGCAUUAAGUAGACCGCCUGGGGAGUACGGCCGCAAGGUUAAAACUCAAAUGAAUUGACGGGGGCCCGCACAAGCGGUGGAGCAUGUGGUUUAAUUCGAUGCAACGCGAAGAACCUUACCUACUCUUGACAUCCAGCGAAGCCUUUAGA
rnacentral:rRNA from 1 species